CGGGAUGUGGGGCAGCUUGGUCAGCCUGACCGCUUUGGAAGCGGGGUGUCGCUGGUUCGAAUCCAGCCUUCCCGA
rnacentral:tRNA from 1 species